CCACAAAAAACUGAUGUAUGAUCUAUUAAACAAUUUUACAUUACAGGCAGUCAAAUGAACAUACAGAAACAUGGGAAUACCAUAUCGACAGAGAGGAACUGUUGUCACAAGUUGAAACUUACCAACGGUGUUAUGACAGUAUACACAAAUGCACGUAGUUGUCUACUCAGUCUAAAAUUAAAGAACAAUGCCUGGGGAUGUUUGUUUUUAAAAAUCCGUUUAAGGAUAGAGUUUCUGCAGAGGAAUUUAGAACAACCAACUCAAUUACACAGAAUAAAGCUGUGCUUGGCAAAAGCACACCAGUGUCCAUAAACUAUGUUGGCCUAAAAGUAAGAUAUGUUAAGUGUUACUUGUGCUCUUAAAUAAAAAUGUGUCAUGACUUGAGUGUUUUAUUUCUGAUAUCGAAAAGCUGAGCUGUAAAUGUUUAUAUGUUUGUAAAACACAACUGUUCUCAAAGUGAAAAGGUUUCAUUGUCCUUGAGUCUCAAACCGGUUUAGUUUGCCACACCCCCUCUGAAGUUUGUGGUGAGAGCAGAAAAUGGGCCGGGUGAUCAAAGGUAGUGUUUGUGUGUGAAAGGGUACUUGCGCACAUACUGAUUGCGUAGGGCUUUAUCUUUGAAUAUGCUUUCAGAGUUGGACCCUUGUGAAGUUUUCAUGCAUGGUUUACACAGAGCAUGAUCUACUGUAGGUGACAAUUGUGCGCUUUGUUGUGUAACAUAAGAAGGAAGUGGGUGUGAUUUCUUUUGCAACAAGAGUUUUGCAGUAUUCAAAGAUUUAGGUAGUAACAAGCUAGCUCUAAUAAAAAGCAAACGGAUUGUAAAUGUUUAAGUCAGUAACUCUGUAGUGUCAGUACAAUAUUCCUUUUAUUUGCAUGCCCUUUGGUAGAACCUUCAAGUCCAGAACUGAUUUGAACAUGUGGUAAGUUAUGUAAUCAUUCCUUCGACUAUAUAUCCAUCUGGCAUCAAUCUGGUGCGGAGCAUAGUACACUACACAAUGUUCUUUCAGAAAAAAGGAGGCUGCAUAGCUAUAGGAAUACUUUAUUGAAAAGCACAGAAGUCAAGGUUUUAUAAAAGAACCUAGGCAGCAAAUCAUAAGCAUUAUAAAAUAUGAGUAACAAUGAUUGAAAAAUUACCAUACAGAAAUAUAAUAUAUACAAUAUAUACACAAAGUAACAGCUGUAUCAAUCUCAAAAGCAAGUAAUAUUUAUAUUUACAAACAAUAUUGGUUAAAGAAUCUGUUUAAGCUAUCCCAAGUACAAAAGAAGUAAAAUAUAAAAAAUAUAACAUUCAAGAGAAA